CUGAGUACGGCGGAACACGUGAAAUUCCGUCGGAAUCCGGGAGGACCAUCUCCCAAGGCUAAAUACUCCCUAGUGACCGAUAGUGAACCAGUACCGUGAGGGAAAGGUGAAAAGCACCCCGGAAGGGGAGUGAAACAGUUCCUGAAACCGUGUGCCUACAAGUAGUUAGAGCCCGUUAAUGGGUGAUAGCGUGCCUUUUGUAGAAUGAACCGGCGAGUUACGAUUUGUUGCAAGGUUAAGCGGAAAAAGCGGAGCCGUAGCGAAAGCGAGUCUGAAUAGGGCGCAUAAGUAACAGGUCGUAGACCCGAAACCAGGUGAUCUACCCAUGUCCAGGAUGAAGGUAAGGUAAUACUUACUGGAGGUCCGAACCCACGCACGUUGAAAAGUGCGGGGAUGAGGUGUGGGUAGCGGAGAAAUUCCAAUCGAACUUGGAGAUAGCUGGUUCUCUCCGAAAUAGCUUUAGGGCUAGCCUCGAGGUAAAGAGUCAUGGAGGUAGAGCACUGUUUGGACUAGGGGCCCUUCUCGGGUUACCGAAUUCAGAUAAACUCCGAAUGCCAUGUACUUAUACUCGGGAGUCAGACUGCGAGUGAUAAGAUCCGUAGUCGAAAGGGAAACAGCCCAGACCACCAGUUAAGGUCCCCAAAUAUAUGUUAAG
rnacentral:rRNA from 1 species